UUCGCGGUAGCUCAAUGGAUAGAGCAACGGCCUUCUAAGCCGUCGGUUGUAGGUUCGAAUCCUAUUCGCGAAACCA
rnacentral:tRNA from 1 species